rnacentral:rRNA from 1 species
UACGAAGGUGGCGAAUGUUGCUCGGAUUCACUGGGCGUAAAGCGUCGGUAGGUGGUUGUGUAAGUCAGAGGUGAAAGCCCCGCGCUCAACGUGGGAAUUGCCUUUGAAACUACAUGACUCGAAGGUAUGAGAGGAUGGCGGAAUGACUGGUGUAGAGGUAAAAUUCAUAGAUAUCAGUCGGAACACCCAAGGCGAAGGCAGCUAUCUGGCAUAUUCUUGACACUGAGCGACGACAGCGUGGGGAGCAAACAGG